rnacentral:rRNA from 1 species
GUGAACGCUGGCGGCAGGCCUAACACAUGCAAGUCGAACGGCAGCACAAGAGAGCUUGCUCUCUGGGUGGCGAGUGGCGGACGGGUGAGGAAUGCAUCGGAAUCUGCCCAUUUGUGGGGGAUAACCUCGGGAAACCGGGACUAAUACCGCAUACGACCUACGGGUGAAAGCAGGGGAUCUUCGGACCUUGCGCAGAUGGAUGAGCCGAUGCCGGAUUAGCUAGUUGGAGGGGUAAAGGCCCACCAAGGCGACGAUCCGUAGCUGGUCUGAGAGGAUGAUCAGCCACACUGGGACUGAGACACGGCCCAGACUCCUACGGGAGGCAGCAGUGGGGAAUAUUGGACAAUGGGCGCAAGCCUGAUCCAGCCAUGCCGCGUGUGUGAAGAAGGCCUUCGGGUUGUAAAGCACUUUUGUUGGGAAAGAAAAGCAGCCGGUUAAUACCCGGUUGUCAUGACGGUACCCAAAGAAUAAGCACCGGCUAACUUCGU